UGCCGGUCUUAAGCCGGAGGAAGUGGGGAUGAUGGUCAAGUCAGCAUGGCCUUUAUAUCCUGGGCUACACACACGCUACAAUGGCCAACACGAAUAGGUUGCUAAGCCGCGAGGUGGCGCCAAUCCAUAAAGUUGGUCUCAGUUCAGAUUGUAGGCUGCAACCCGCCUGCAUGAAGAUGGAGUUGCUAGUAACCGCAGGUCAGCUAUACUGCGGUGAAUACGUUCCCGGGCUU
rnacentral:rRNA from 1 species